CGAGAGCGCCGCCGCGAUAGGGCCCAGCCUUUCGGCGUGGCCGGGCCGCGAGGCGAUCGCCGCCGCGGUGGCGUACACGGCCAUCUCCGUGGCCAGCACGCCCGGUCCGAUUGACCACGACUGCGAGGCGUCGACGGCCAUGGCAACGAGCGGGCUCGCGUCCAGUCGCGUCUCCAUGUGGCGGAGCGUGCCGUCUCUAAAGCGCACCGACGCCACAUUGUGGCCCUCGGGCGCACCGGCAAUGUGUGCCGCAAAGAAAUGCUCCACGUGGGCGUCGUCAUAGACGCGCAGGAUGGGUUCGGGCAGUGGCGCGCCGUAGGCGUCGCGCGUGCGGCGCACGGGCGCCCACCGAAGGAUCCCAUCGGUGCCGCGUGCGCGACGCUCGCACGUCCACUGGCCGUCGUCGUCGCCGCGGAAAAACUGGCGAUUGUUGACAUAGACAUAGCACACCGAGUCGAUGGGGUGCAAGGCCGCACGCGCACGUUCCCUGCAUCGGGCGCGCUCCUCGGCGAGCAACGCCGCCAUGGCGUCCUGUGUCGAGACGGCAUUGGCUGCCCAUGCGACCGAUGCCUCUUGGUCGUGGCUACCGUCGCCGUCGCCCGUUCGCCAACGCACGAGUGCCUCGCAAAAGGCGACGACAACGGCAUUCUCACGCCGCAUGCACAGAACCGACAGAUGCGCCUUGCGCCACCCUCCACAGUAACAACACGUGCUCGGCGGUGGGAGGUCGUCUGGCAUGAUCGCGGUGGCGAGACGGUGACCCACCUCGAUACCCGCGCGACGGACCAGAUCCGCGAUGGCGGCGUCGCCAACGGCAUGCGGCACGAGCGCGAGGCACGCGCGAUGGACGGUCGUGACAAAGGUCUUAUCGUGCGCCAUAAGCGUGGCGUCGUGCGGGACGCCCUCGAGAAUCGUGCCGCGGCGCGACGACCCAUGACGCCACAAGAGCGUAAACGCCGGAUGGCGCAUGCUCGCGCAGGCCGCCUUGCAAAAGGCCUCGUAGUCGCCGUCUGGUGUCGAUUCGCCGGCGUCGGCAUCGGUGUGGACGUGGUUGCCGGCGUCGCCCUCGUGUUGGUUACUGCACCGGUCGUCGCGUGCGGCCAUGGGCAUGCGGUCGCAGCGCGUCGCGCGCCACGGCCCGCCGGCGGUCCGACGGGCAAAGCACACCGGGGACGGGUCGAGAUGAAAGGAGCACGCGCCGGGCGCGCCGUGCGGGUCGACAAAGAGCGGUCGCAUGCGCGCGUCCAAGAGGGCGCGAUUGAAACGGUCCUCGCGCUCCCCGCCGUCGCCGCAAAAGGCCUCGAUCGUGUCGAGGGCCUGCGCUCGGUCCGGCAGGUCACAUUCGGGCGUCCCUUGUGUGAUCACGGUCGCCAUUCUUUUUCCUCUUGUGCCUGUGGCCGACAGUCUCGGCUCGGUCUGUGGCCUCUUGUCGGGAUGCGGGCCGGCGUCGGUCCUCUUGCAGACGGACGUGCCUGGUUGUUCCUCGUGCAGGUGCCCUCGCCUUUUGCCCUUUUUUUCAAUCUUUUUUCCCGCUCUUCUAGGCGAGUUUGCAAGAAAAGAGCGGAAUCCAAUGGCGCCAAAAGAUAGAUUCGAGGAGAAAAAGAAGAAGAGGCGCAGACUUGGGUCGGGCGCGGGCUUUGCUUUGUGCGGUGGAGGCCUGGCUCCUUGGUCAACUCCAGAGACCACCACGGCCCUUUUUCUUUGUUGCAACUUGCGCACGCCAUUGGUGGUUGAAAAAAGGCGCUCUUGUGCCGACCAAUGCGCGGCGGCGGGUCAAAAUACCACGCAAUCGCCCACCGCCCGGCCAGAGAGGCAGAGAUGGAAAAAAAAAUGGAGAAUCCUUCGGGGAGAUUGCGAGGCGAGGAAAAGGCCACGAGGGACAGAGGCGACAACCGGGCCGACGCUACUUUUUGCGUCAACGGACAAUACAAACCCGAAUACAAGACGCGCACCCUUUUUUACUCGCGACAAUGGCACAACAAAAGAAAAUGCGGCAUAAAAAUGACAACGCCAAUGGCGAUGCGCCCUCUUUUUCUUGUCCGUGCGGCAUCGGCAUCGCAAGUCGACCGAGCGCGUAUACAAAUAUACACAACAACAACGCACCCCACAAGGAGGGGGAGAGAGAGAGAGAGAGAAGAAAAAUGCACACAGAGACACGACAAUGCGGUGACGCGUCGCUCUCGGGAGUCCAUUGGACGAGGUGAGGAGGAGAAAAUAGACGGCCGUUGUCAUUGUGGCGUCGACGGAUCACAGAGGCGAGACGGGCGCAUGCCAGAGGGUGCCGCCGAGCCGAGCGUCGGCGGCGCGCGCCUCUGCCGCGAAUCGGUCCCACGCAUCGACAAUGUCGUCCAUGACAUAGUCGCGCGUAUGAAGCGUGGACACC
rnacentral:lncRNA from 1 species